rnacentral:rRNA from 1 species
UAAUACGUAGGGUGCGAGCGUUGUCCGGAAUUAUUGGGCGUAAAGGGCUCGUAGGCGGUUUGUCGCGUCGGGAGUGAAAACGCCGGGCUUAACUCGGUGCUUGCUUCCGAUACGGGCAGACUAGAGGUAUGCAGGGGAGAACGGAAUUCCUGGUGUAGCGGUGAAAUGCGCAGAUAUCAGGAGGAACACCGGUGGCGAAGGCGGUUCUCUGGGCAUUACCUGACGCUGAGGAGCGAAAGUGUGGGGAGCGAACAGGAUUAGAUACCCUGGUAGUCCACACCGUAAACGUUGGGCGCUAGGUGUGGGAUCCAUUCCACGGGUUCCGUGCCGCAGCUAACGCAUUAAGCGCCCCGCCUGGGGAGUACGGCCGCAAGGCU